rnacentral:misc_RNA from 1 species
AAAAAGGAAACCCCAAGAACAUCAACUGCCUACAAUAUCUGCACAACAAAUACACAAUGAAUUACAAUGGGUGGGACAGAGAAUUAAAGUGGCCUCAGGGAGGGGGAUCCUUUAAAAAUUAAAAGAAUUACUAACUUUUAUAAUUUUAUAAAUUGUUAGAAGUCAUACCUUUAUAUAUUAGCAUUAGUCGUUACAUAAUACACACACUUGUAUUAAUUUUGAAAUCUAUGAAUUAUUAUAUGAGGGAAAAUUAACAUUCAAUUAUAAAUGAUCAAAUUAUGUAUAUAAACAAGGUCUGCCCUACUUAUAUGAGUCAAGAUU